UGUGAGGACUACGGUAUGGACUACUGGGGCCAGGGAACCCUGGUCACUGUCUCCUCAGAGAGCGUGUCUGCCCCCAACGUCUUCCCCCUCGUCUCCUGUGAGAACUCCCUGUACGAUGAGCGCCUGGUGGCCAUGGGCUGCCUGGCCAAGGACUUCCUGCCCACCCCCGUCACCUUCUCCUGGAAAUUUAAGAACACCAGUGACAUCAUCAACCAGGACAUCCAGAACUUCCCAUCGGUCCUGAGGGGAGGCAAGUACGAGGCCAGCUCGCAGCUGCUCCUGCCCAGCGCCGACAUCCUCCAGGGCACGGACGAGUUCGUGACGUGCAAGGUCAAACACUCCAAUGGCGAAAAAGAAGUGCAAGUGCCCAUCCCAGGUGGCCAACCGCUGCCCCCCCACGUGAACGUCUUCAUCCCGCCCCGCGACUCCUUCACCGGCUCCAGCCCCCGGACGUCCACGCUCAUCUGCCAGGCCACGGGCUUCAACCCCAGGAAGAUCGCGGUGUCCUGGCUGAAGGAGGGGAAGCCGCUGAACUCCGGCUUCGUCACGGACAAAACAGAGGUCGAGCGCAAAGCCCGCCCCGUGACCUACAGGGUCACCAGCAGGCUGACCAUCACCGAGAGCGACUGGCUCAGCCAGAGCGUGUUCACCUGCCAAGUGGAGCACCAGGGGCUGAUCUACCAGAAGAACGUGUCGUCCAUGUGCGGCCCCAGUUCAUCCACCAUCCGAGUCUUCACCAUCCCCCCGACCUUUGCCAGCAUCUUCCUCACCAAGGAGGCCACUCUGUCCUGCCUGGUCACGGACCUGGCCACCUAUGACAGCCUGAGCAUCUCCUGGACCCGCCAGAAUGGCGAUGAAGUGAAAACCCACAUCAACGUCUCUGAGAGCCACCCCAACGCCACCUUCAGUGCCAUAGGAAAGGCCACAGUGUGCGUGGAGGACUGGGAGUCGGGCGAGAAGUUCACCUGCACAGUGACCCACACGGACCUGCCCUCGCCUCUGAAGCACACCAUCUUCAGGCCCAAGGAAAUCGCCAAGCACAUGCCCUCGGUGUACGUGCAGCCGCCCAGCCGGGAGCAGCUGAGCCUGCGGGAGUCGGCCUCGGUCACCUGCCUGGUGAAGAGCUUCUCGCCCCCAGACGUGCAUGUGCAGUGGCUGCAGAGAGGGCAGCCCGUGUCCUCCGACAUGUAUGUGACCAGCGCCCCAAUGCCCGAGCCCCAGGCCCCCGGCUUGUACUUCGCCCACAGCAUCCUGACCGUGAGUGAGGAGGACUGGAGCGCCGGGGAGACCUACACCUGCGUCGUGGCCCACGAGGCCCUGCCGUACUCGGUGACCGAGAGGACCGUGGACAAGUCCACCGGGGGUGAGGUGAGCGCCGAUGAGGAGGGCUUCGAGAACCUCAACACCAUGGCCUCCACCUUCAUCGUCCUGUUCCUGCUCAGCCUCUUCUACAGCACAACAGUCACCCUGUUCAAGGUAAAGUGACCCGCUGGGCAGGAGCGUGGACAUAAGGAGGGGGUGCCCGCCGCCUUGCACCCCAGCCCGGCCUGCCACUGGGUCCUUGUACAUAAACCCCCUGAGCCGCCUCCAGCUUCCAGCGCGAGGAAACCGCUUCCCUGGACACCCCGCUGCCGAGCGCUCGGCCGGGGUCGCUGCGCAGUGUGUGCCCUUGUCGCCUUGAAAUAAAUAUGUACAUGUUACCUUGUGA